UACGGGAGGCAGCAGUGGGGGAUAUUGCACAAUGGAGGAAACCCUGAUCCAGCGACGCCGCGUGAACGAAGAAGUAUCUCGGUAUGUAAAGUUCUAUCAGCAGGGAAGAUAAUGACGGUACCUGACUAAGAAGCACCGGCUAAAUACGUGCCAGCAGCCGCGGUAAU
rnacentral:rRNA from 1 species